AAGGGGAGUGCUGGAUCCUGGGCUGUGUCCCCCUGCACUCUGGGCUCCAGGGCCUGCGCGCUGGAAUUGUGCUCUGGGGGCCGCGCAGCCCCCU
rnacentral:pre_miRNA from 1 species